GAGAAAGACCACCAACCCAAAUCAUCAUGGC
rnacentral:piRNA from 1 species